CACGGUGGAUACCUUGGCGUCAGCAGCCGAUGAAGGACGCAAUAAACUGCGAAAUUCCACGGGGAGUCGUUAUAGACUAAGAUCCGUGGGUCUCCGAAUGGGGCAACCCCGCUGAGUAAUGUCAGCGACGCACAUCUGAAUACAUAGGGUGUGACGAGGUAAGCUCGGGAACUGAAACAUCUUAGUACCGAGAGGAAAAUAAAACAAAACAGUGAUUCCCUAAGUAGCGGCGAGUGAACGGGGAACAGCCCAAACCAGUAGGACGUAAGUCUUAUUGGGGUUGCGGGACUCUAUAAAGAAUUGAAGAAAGUUAGUUGAAGAGCUCUGGAAAGGGCUACCAAAGACGGUGACAGUCCGGUAGACGAAAACUUUCGACAUCUGGGAGUAUCCCAAGUAGUACGGGACACGAGAAAUCUUGUACGAAUCUGCCAGGACCAUCUGGUAAGGCUAAAUACU
rnacentral:rRNA from 1 species